UCUACUGCGUCGACAGGUUGUUCAAAUUCAUUUGUGGGUUGUUUUUGUUGUCUUUUUCCGUUUUGCAGGGUUCGCAAUCGUCGGGAGGUGGACAGAGACAUCGAGGAAUCAACUGUCCUGGAUGAGGUCCAGUUGGUUGUGCCAUUGGAUGAUGUGCUGGAUGUACCACUGCUGCCAGCCAUCCUUGAGGAGGUGCCAGAUGUGCCGACUAUCCUUGAGGAGGCCACUGGUAAUUGGCAGUUGAUACCGAUUAGGUUUAGCUCCCUGUACUGUGGGCCUGUUGUGAUCAGGAACAAUGCAGGUCCGGUGGUUAAAGCUUGGAGAACUUUCCAGUUCAUCAGCCCCAUUAUCACCUACAUGCGUGGGGG